AUGGGGGGGCUGCAUCAACAGAGCACAGGGAUGAUCCUCCGCUGUCUGUUUACAUCGCUGCAGUGCAUUCUGGGAGGUCACCCCGCAACCUGGGGCAGGCAUGCUGUUUCACUGGAUAGAGGAGGAAAAAAAAGCAUGCAGAGGAGCAGCGGGUCAGAAAGACCAGACUCAUUUCACACAGAGAGAAGAAGUCAGGUGGUUCCAGGUGCGCCAUUCGCCCCUCAGGCAGGGAACGUUGCCCCCCCCCCUCACCCCCACCUUGUAGUGCCUGAACCUGGGCAGAAUCGGGUGGCAGCCUCCCAUUUGUUAAAUGCUUCACGAGGUGACUGGUGCUCCUCUGCCCGAGCUGAGAGGACAGAUGGAGAGGCCACGGAACGUUCUGGAGAGCCGAUGGUAAUUACGAGCCAGUAGCAGAGCCGGUGGCGUCCACAGGGAGCAGGCCUGAGCGGAGCUGUUUGAGUGCUGAAAAGGGGGCUGUUUUUGCCCUUUGGCUGCUCAUGCUGUUGCUCUGCGCGGUGGGCUCGUGUUGGGACUGCCGUCGAUGCACAUUUCUUCAUCUUCACCUCAGUUAAGUGUGUGCGAGAAAACAUGGUGACAUUUGGGUUCAGCUUUCGUCAUUCACAAGUAGAGUAGAAACGACAUGUGUCUUAUCAGUAGUCGUAUUUAUUAAUGUGACUACAUACCUAUUUUUUUCAUACAAUAAUAAAGGAGAAUUUUUAUUUUUAUACAGAGACAGGAAACAAAUGUGAUGUUAGCCAAGUACAUUAUGCUCUAUUAAUAAUAAUAAUAAUAAUAAUAGUGUUAUUAUAAUUAUUAUUAUUAUUUUAGUUAACAAAAACAACAUUAUUCUUUUAAAUAUUAUUAUAAUUUUCAUUAUUAUUAUUAUUAUUAUUAUUAUUAUUUUAAUUAUUAAUGCCAAAAUCUACUGUUUGACACCUGUUUGUAUAUUUUACCACUGCAGCAAAUUUUGUCCUAUUUGCGACUGUAAAAAUUGCACAGUUAUUAUACACAACUGCACAAUUUAGUUCAUACUUUAAACAAAAAUUUGUAACUGAAAAAAAAAAGAGUUGCUAUUAUUAUUACUAUUAAUGCUGAAAAAGUAAAUCAGCUUAAUUUAAUGCAAGUUAAAAUUUAAAGCUUAAAAAAAUUAUAGGAUCGUAAAUUUAAAACGAAACAAACACAAGACAAGUUUUACCAUUUUUUUUAUCUCCAGGUCUGAUGGGAUCACAUUUAGCUUAGCUUAGCAUAAAUUAUUGAAUCAGAUUAGACCAUUAGCAUUUCAUAAAUUGACAAAAAAAUGGUUUCUAUUUAACACCAUGUACUAAGUCUGACAGAA
rnacentral:lncRNA from 1 species